AUGAUGAUGAUGAUGAUGAUGAUGAUGAUGAUGAUGAUGAUGAUGACAAUUCUCAAAAUGAAAGUCAGCAAAUGAAGGGAGUAGUUCACAGUUAUUUAGAGGAGAGCAUUCGUUCGUACAUUGAUCUGAUCGACACUCUGCGGUCUGUUGGCAUUCAGAAGGACUUGGCAUUACCAACUAUUGCAGUGAUCGGAGAUCAGAGUUCUGGGAAAAGCUCUGUGUUGGAAGCGCUGUCUGGAGUUGCAUUACCAAGAGGAAGCGGAAUUGUCACCAGAUGUCCACUGGAGCUGAGGCUGAAGAAGGUAACUGG